UAGAUGUAUAAUUGAUUGAGGUUGCCGAUGGAGCCCGAGUCUGAUACAAUGUUGGUCUGUUAUUGUUGAUCUAAUUUUCAGUAUUGAAUGCAGUAUGAAGUUUGAUGUUUUCAUUUUAUAGUUUCGUGUGCAUAUUUUACUGUUUUAUUGAUUAUUGAUUGAAUGACUGAAAUACCGAUACUGUAUGUUGUCUGUUUGACAUGAAUUACGAU
rnacentral:lncRNA from 1 species